rnacentral:rRNA from 1 species
GACGAACUGUGCAAACGUUAUUCGGAAUCACUGGGCUUAAAGGGUGCGUAGGCGGGUUAUUAAGUCAGUGGUGAAAGCCUACAGCUUAACUGUAGAAUUGCCAUUGAUACUGAUGAUCUUGAGUAUGAUUGAGGUGGGCGGAAUGUGUCAUGUAGCGGUGAAAUGCUUAGAUAUGACAUAGAACACCGAUUGCGAAGGCAGCUCGCUAAACUUAUAUUGACGCUGAGGCACGAAAGCGUGGGGAUCAAACAGG